rfam:Elusimicrobia bacterium RIFCSPHIGHO2_02_FTLL_57_9 rifcsphigho2_02_scaffold_58245, whole genome shotgun sequence.
GGGCCCGUAGCUCAAUGGAUAGAGUACGUGGCUUCGAACCACGGGAUCCGGGUUCGAUUCCUGGCGGGCCCA